AACUCUCUCUGGUGGUGUUCCGAUAUCUACCGAGACAUUUUUUGGUUUGGGUUGUUUUCCUGAAGAGAGCUGGUGGUUUCUUUCUUCCAAAUCAGCUUCAGUAUAAUUGGGCCGGAUUCAUUCUUCGUGUAAUGCCAGCUGAAUUCAGAGGAGUUGCCCAGGAAAUAAUUUAGUCCCUUAUGUGAGUGGAUUGUUACUCUGUUAAGUCAACUCUGACUGUACUUUUCCAUCUGGCUUUAACAGCUCUAGUGUUUGGAGUGCUAAUGAGUGGAGGUAAACAGAGUUCACCAUGGAGAUUCUUAAUGCAAGUCCUCUGGGAGCCUUUCCAUUGACUUCAGCGGGUCUAGAUCAGGUCCCUACACUGGUUUCAAGUGGUAGAAAAGACUAAUACCGAGUAAAGGAGAAUGAACAAAGAACCAGUCUAUUGCUCCACAUUUUCCCGUACAUCAACUGCAGAAGUUAUUGAUGAAACAAAGCUGGAAACCGCUGAUCUGAAAAAUCUCAUCUCUCACGGGGAAGCUGGGAAUACAGCAAUCUUGCACAGAGAGAGCUGCAUGGACUUCUAAUGGUUGACAAUCCCUGUGCUAGCCAUCUCUGAAGAGAAAGCAAGCUGGUGUGUUUGGAUGGCUCGUCUCCGCUGGGAAAAACAGUGAAAACUGGGCGGGCUGGAAAUACCCCAUCAGGAGGGAGAGAGAGACGUGGAUCUCCACCCAAGAAAGGCAAUGGCUGGGAAGCAGGAAGGCUGCAGUUGGGUGUCCUGGCUGGUCCACUGAGGGGGAAUGCAGAUGCAGUUGCCCUGAACUUGAACCACGGGUUAGGUGGUGGAGUCUCAGGCUAUGACCAGGUAGCACUUCCCAAGAGACCGGCCUGUCUGAGUGACCUUGGGCCUCUGGGGCUGGGCUGCCCACUGAUACCAAACCAAGAGUGGGGUUUAGCAGAUGGCAAAGGGGACGGGACACUGUAAAGGGGCAUUUGCCUCUUGGCUGUUUGCACUGGUGGGUGGGGAACAGAGCUAACUGAUGACUCUAAGAGUUACUGUGGAAGUGCGUUUUACCUGUCAGUCACUUAGACUGCGGGGUGUUUUCCCAAGCUGAAGCUGUGUCCCCUCUCCCCCAGUACAGGAUGGCAUUUAAUGUAACCCUCUUACCAAUUCCUUGGUAGCCUUUUAUUUUUGUCAAACAUACGCUUAAUUCCUGCCUUGAUAAUUGAACGAAUUCAUAUUUGCUGCCAGUCACACUUGCUGAAAUUGGACAUUACAAUUCUGCAGAUGUUGUGCUGUAUUCUGAGAAGAUAAUGAGAAACACUUUUAAGACAUGGAUUUGGAAGUUCAUUAAUUUCCUUUAAUGGUGACCCUGUGCUCUGCCUGACGAGCUAAUUAUGACAGAAUUGUUUUGUGAGGCUCGACGACCACAAGUGCUGCUCAGUGCGGAGGCAAUCCCGUGACGCAGGGCUAUGCUCUCCUCCCCGUUACACCACUCUGGCUGUGCAGUAGGUUGGUCCAAUGGAGUUACACCUGUGAGACGGAGAACACUGCUUGGCCCAUUGCGCACACAUCGCAGACAGAGCGUAGACAGUCCGAGCCAUCAGAGCUUUGAAUAAUGGAACCCCAGAGCUGGAUUCAUGCUAAAGAACUGGAAGCAUCCAAGGACCGAGACCCAGCGCCGCCAAGAAAUGCUGGGAACUCUGUGCCCAUCUUUGUGGUGCCAGAAAAGCAUCAGCUAAAACAGAUGAGAGCCAGGUGUACAAGGAGGGGCCUCUGUUAGGAGAGGUUAUAUUUUAAACGGGACUAUAAAUAAUCUAUUUCCUUCCUGUGCCAAGCACUGGACUCAGACCACAAAGGGCUAAUGGAGCAAUGUUAGAAGCCCCCAACAUCUAAUUUGAUCUAUAAAAUAACAUUUAAACUUAAAACUUUUCAUAUGUAGAGCUGCAAGUGAUUUAUAAGGGUCCAUUGAUGUCAGUGAGGUUGUAUCAGGAACCAAAGAAUCACAGAAAGAAUGAGGAGGACUUGUGGCACCUUAGAGGCUAAUAAAUGUAUUUGAGCAUCAGCUUUUGUGGGCUAAAGCUCACUUCAUCGGAUGCAUUCAGUGGAAAAUACAGUAGGAAGAUACACACACACCAUGAAAAAAUGGGGGUUGCCAUACCAACUCUUAACGAGACCAAUCAAUUAAGGUGGGCUAUCAUCAGCAGGAGAAAAAAAAAAUGUUUGUAGUGAUAAUCAGGACAGCCCAUUUCAAACAGCUGACAAGAAGGUGUGAGUAACAGUAGGGGGAAAAUUAGCAUGGGAAAAUAGUUUUUAGUUAGUGAAAUGACUCAUCCACUCCCAGUCUUUAUUCAAGUCUAAUUUGAUGGAGUCCAGUUUGCAGAUUAAUUUCAGUUCUGCUGUUUCUGUUUUUGAAGGUUUUUUGUUGAAGAAUUGCAACUUUUAGGUCUGUAAUCGAGUGACCAAAGAGACUGAAUUGUUCUCUGACUGGUUUUUGAAUGUUAUAAUUCUUGAUGUCA